GUUUCCGGUAAGCAGUAAAAUGGCGCUGCUGGUCGGAGGAAGGCUGGUUACCGGGGUUGGAGCGGUGGCAAUCAGAGGUGGAGGCUGGAAUUGUGUUUGCCAGAAAUCUACGUAUACUGCUCUUCCCAAUGACUAUAACUGUAAAGUUGAACUUGCAUUGACGUCAGAUGGACGGACAAUUGUUUGUUAUCAUCCAUCGGUGGACAUCCCAUACGAACACACCAAGGUGGGUUGAAUAUUUACACAUGUUUAUGCUGGAGUUUUUUUUAAA